rnacentral:rRNA from 1 species
CCUACGGGUGGCUGCAGUGAGGAAUAUUGGUCAAUGGACGCAAGUCUGAACCAGCCAUGCCGCGUGCAGGAAGACGGCUCUAUGAGUUGUAAACUGCUUUUGUACGAGGGUAAACGCAGAUACGCGUAUCUGUCUGAAAGUAUCGUACGAAUAAGGAUCGGCUAACUCCGUGCCAGCAGCCGCGGUAAUACGGAGGAUUCAAGCGUUAUCCGGAUUUAUUGGGUUUAAAGGGUGCGUAGACGGCCAGACAAGUCAGAAGUGAAAGCCCAAGGCUCAACCCUGGAAUUGCCUCUGAAACUGUCGGGCUAGAGUGCAGUAGCGGUAGGCGGAAUGUAUGGUGUAGCGGUGAAAUGCUUAGAUAUCAUACGGAACACCGAUUACGAAGGCAGCUUAC